UUUAUCGAAGGGCAGGCCAAAAGUGGCCC
rnacentral:sRNA from 1 species